GCAAACGUAGCUUAAUAAAAAGCAUAACGCUGAAGAUGUUAAGAUGAGCCCUAGAAAGCUCCGUAAGCA
rnacentral:tRNA from 1 species